rnacentral:rRNA from 1 species
CUACGGGGGCAGCAGUGGGGAAUAUUGCACAAUGGGCGAAAGCCUGAUGCAGCAACGCCGCGUGGAGGAUGACACAUUUCGGUGCGUAAACUCCUUUUAUAGGUCAAGAUAAUGACGGUAGCCUAUGAAUAAGCGCCGGCUAACUCCGUGCCAGCAGCCGCGGUAAUACGGAGGGCGCAAGCGUUACUCGGAAUCACUGGGCGUAAAGAGCGUGUAGGCGGAUUAAUAAGUCAGAAGUGAAAUCCAAUAGCUUAACUAUUGAACUGCUUUUGAAACUGUUGAUCUAGAGUGUGGGAGAGGUAGAUGGAAUUUCUGGUGUAGGGGUAAUAUCCGUAGAUAUCAGAAGGAAUACCGAUUGCGAAGGCGAUCUACUGGAACAUAACUGACGCUGAGACGCGAAAGCGUGGGGAGCAAACAGGAUUAGAUACCCCGGUAGUC